CCUACGGGAGGCAGCAGUGGGGGAUAUUGCACAAUGGGGGGAACCCUGAUGCAGCGACGCCGCGUGAAGGAAGAAGUAUCUCGGGAUGUAAACUUCUAUCAGCAGGGAAGAAAAGGACGGUACCUGACUAAGAAGCCGCGGCUAACUACGUGCCAGCAGCCGCGGGAAUACGUAGGGGGCAAGCGUUAUCCGGAUUUACUGGGUGUAAAGGGAGCGUAGGCGGCAGUGCAAGUCAGAAGUGAAAGCCCGGGGCUCAACGCCGGGACUGCUUUUGAAACUGUACAGCUUGAUUGCAGGAGAGGCCAGUGGAAUUCCUAGUGUAGCGGUUCACUGCGUAGAUAUUAGGCGGCACACCAGUGGCGAAGGCGGCUUGCUGGACUGUACCUGACGCUGAGGCUCGAAAGCGUGGGGAGCAAACAGGAUUAGAUACCCGGGUAGUC
rnacentral:rRNA from 1 species